rnacentral:rRNA from 1 species
UACGGAGGGAGCUAGCGUUAUUCGGAAUUACUGGGCGUAAAGCGCACGUAGGCGGCUUUGUAAGUAAGAGGUGAAAGCCCGGAGCUCAACUCCGGAACUGCCUUUUAGACUGCAUCGCUUGAAUCCAGGAGAGGUGAGUGGAAUUCCGAGUGUAGAGGUGAAAUUCGUAGAUAUUCGGAAGAACACCAGUGGCGAAGGCGGCUCACUGGCCCCGGUACUGACGCUGAGGUGCGAAAGCGUGGGGAGCGAACAGG